UACGUAGGGUGCAAGCGUUGUCCGGAAUUAUUGGGCGUAAAGAGCUCGUAGGCGGUCUGUCGCGUCGGAUGUGAAAGCCCGGGGCUUAACCCCGGGUCUGCAUUCGAUACGGGCAGACUAGAGUGUGGUAGGGGAGAUCGGAAUUCCUGGUGUAGCGGUGAAAUGCGCAGAUAUCAGGAGGAACACCGGUGGCGAAGGCGGAUCUCUGGGCCUUACCUGACGCUCAGGCGCGAAAGCUAGGGGAGCGAACAGG
rnacentral:rRNA from 1 species